GUCAUUUGGACACUGUGUUCAUGUGCAUGAAGAUGAUCUUUUACAAAUUGGUGCAGUUAACUCAAGAGUUAGAAUUUAUUAUGAUUAUUUAUUCAAAUUUUUAUUUAGCAUUUUUUUUUUCAGACGCCAUGCCAGACAAUGGGACAGACAGUUGAAGGCGAUGACGAAGAGACUGGUACGGAAGAUCUUGAUUCGGAACUUGUAUAUAUAGAAUUGCUCGAACACGCCGGAGAUGUCCUACUCGCUUUCGGUAAUGCAAUGGCAUCUCAAGAGUUUGCACCGUAGGCUACUUUGCUGGACUGUUGUCGGCUCUUCUUCACAGGGCGAGGGAGCAUUGUACGACUGCGGAAAAGUCUUUCAGUACCAGCGUCCUGGCGGAGUGCAUGGAAUCGCUCGAUGGCGUGCUUAAACAGUUGGUACCAGAUCUCUUCACGACUUUGACCAACCUGAUGCGCGAUUCGGAUAGUGAAGUGCGGACCAAUUCUGUUUUUGGAUUGGGAGAACUCGUCCUCCACGGACGUGAAUUGCUCUUCCCAAAUUUCCCGCUUAUUCUUCAGUUACUUUCCGAUGCAUUAUCGCGCGUGACUUAUCCGCUUGCGCUGGAUAAUAUUUGCGCAGCAUUUACUCGGAUGAUCAUCGUCAACAUCAGUGCAGUAC